AAUCACUAAUUUUAGGUCACGUAUAAGCACAAAGCUGACCCCGCCUCCCAUCACGCCCAGAUCGCGGGGCCCUCUAUGCCGCCGUCCCCUCCCUCGACCAGAUCCUGGGGUCGCCCGGACCAUCCUCGCCGCCCGCCGCUUGGCCUCCCCCACGACGCCGCCUCCGCGGGAUCCCAAUCAGGAGCGCGGCGCGCGGCCAGCCAUGAAGCGUGUCGUCGCACGUCUGGCUGGCCAGAUCUGGCCGGGCGCCACACCCGCGGCGCGUUUGGGGGAGGAGAAGGGCUCGGCUCUCCAGAUGGAUCGAGGAAGGGCGGGUGCCUCGCGUGCCGCGGCUAGGCGCGCCUCCUACGGGACGACGACCCGAUCGCGUACCGCGGCCUCGUCACCCACGUCGGUCACGCCUGCCGGGGCCGCGGUACCGCCGCCGCGUACACGCCGGGCACUCGCAGGCCAAGCUCGUUCGGGAGACAAUCAAGUCCAAAAUGGCGGACCGGGCAUGUACAACGAAGAACGUCCUCUGCACUGGUUGCCGUGAGGGUAUCAAUGGCUUCUAGAUUCUACAGAAUGGUUCUUGUCGAUCAAUUAAUAUUUAUGAUCGACCAAGUUCAAUUCAAAUAGUCGCACCAAGUAUCGACGCCCUCCUGAGAGGGUGCUAAGUUGCUUAGUACUUUGUCUGAGGAAGCUCUCAAAGGAACAAUAAGAUUAGUGUCAUUAGCCUAUCAAAGGACAAGAAAUGGGUACUGUGAUAAUGAUAAUGAUGAACAUCCUCUAGGCAGAGAUCAAAUCUGCUCAAGCCUUGUUCUGAUGAUACAGAGGAUUACAUUCAACGAUACCAUGAUAGCUCUUCAAUUGAUGCGCACCCAGUUUCCAAAGCUAGAAAAGCUUGUGGUGCAGCCAUUCGUUUUGCAGUCACAAUUGUAUAGCAGUGUGAAGGAUAGAUAGAACACAAGUUGACAGAGACUUGGAGUCAUUCAAGAAAGACAAAGUGUUGCGUAUAUUAAAACUUAGUUCUGGGCAGGAUGAUCAUGCAAUCAUGUUCAUGGACGAUUAUUUGAAACAGAAUUUUAAAAACGAGAAGAAGCACCUAGCUGAGAAUGGAAGAUUGCUUCAAUUACAGAUUGCUUCAAUUACAGAUUGCAGACUUUCAUACGGAUUGCAGGGAGGCAGUUCUUCAAUUGCAAAAAGGAGAAUGAGCAUUCUUUUGGGUGGAAGCUGCGGCCUCUUCUCUCUGAAAUUUCAGAUCUCCAAGAUAGCUCUAUUUUCAAGAUGAAUUGUGUUUUUUUUCUUUCACAACCAUAUACUUCUUAAUGCUAGGUUUCAAUCAGGUUUGGAGAGCAACACUUGAAUGGUGGAGAAGGAAAACAGCACUUUGUGGCCAGACUGUCACUGCCAUGGAUAUUUACAGCCAUCAUCUGGCACUCAUACCUAAAUCCCUUAUGUAAAGCCACAAAAAAUGGAAACAGCAUUGGACCCAGAAUGGUACAAAAUGGAGACAUAGUUUUAAAUAAAGUAUUUGUCCCUGAGGAAGACAGAUUACCAUGCAUCCAUUCAUUUUAGGAUAUAAACAAGGUGCAUGGUGUUUGUCAUGUCUCGCAUUAUGGUGGCAUGGCAGCCAAUAGGCGUAUCAAUGGGAGUUUUUGACAUGUCCCAUAGGUGUAUAUCACAUCACCAUAUCUGCUUUUUAGUUUAUUCAUUCUGAUCUAUGUAAGACUUCCAAUAUCUCUCAAUCUGUAGUUAUCUUUUUGAAAGAAAGAAAGAAAGAAAGCAAUUUGGAGCUCCAGUGGUUUCAGCUCAACCAAGAAAAGCUUGUUCGGAUGCUCGGCAACAUUGAGACCAUGGUUCUCGUUGGCUGGUGACUGUGCAAGCGCUAUGAGUCAGGCAAAUGGCAUCAGGCCAUAGUAGUUUAGGCAAGGUUUGUAAGUUGCAGUAUAGCUAGCAAUGGUUGAACGGUUCCCUCAUCUUGAGCCCCGUGAUAUUUUCAUAAUUAGUUUUUUUUUUCAGGACAGGCCAAAGUUCUUGUUGCAACUUAAACUUAGCGUGGUUAUUUUUUUGCAACA